UACGUAGGUGGCGAGCGUUUGCCGGAUUUACUGGGCGUAAAGGAUGCGUAGGCGGAUAUUUAAGUGAGAUGUGAAAUACCCGAGCUUAACUUGGGUGCUGCAUUUCAAACUGGAUAUCUAGAGUGCGGGAGAGGAGAAUGGAAUUCCUAGUGUAGCGGUGAAAUGCGUAGAGAUUAGGAAGAACACCAGUGGCGAAGGCGAUUCUCUGGACCGUAACUGACGCUGAGGCAGUGAAAAGCGUGGGUAGCAACAGGA
rnacentral:rRNA from 1 species